rnacentral:rRNA from 1 species
GACGUAGGGCGCGAGCGUUGUCCGGAUUUAUUGGGCGUAAAGAGCGCGCAGGCGGUCGUUCAAGUCGCGUGUGAAAGCCCCCGGCUCAACUGGGGAGGGUCACGCGAUACUGAUCGACUCGAAGGCAGGAGAGGGAAGUGGAAUUCCCGGUGUAGUGGUGAAAUGCGUAGAGAUCGGCAGGAACACCCAGGGGGAAACCAGUCGACUGGGCAUCUACUGACGCUGAGGUGCGAGAGCGUGGGGAGCGAACCGG